AGUCAUAUGCUUGUCUCAAAGAUUAAGCCAUGCAUGUGUAAGUACAUACCUAAACAAGGUGAAACCGCGAAUGGCUCAUUAAAUCAGCUGUGGUUCAUUGGAUCUUAAACCCACUUACUUGGAUAACUGUGGUAAUUCUAGAGCUAAUACAUGCGUCCAGUCUCUGACCGCAAGGGAAGAGCGCUCUUAUUAGUCCAAAACCGGUCGGGCCUCGGUCCGUAACCCUUCGGUGGUGAAUCUGAAUAAUUUUGACCUGAGCGCACGGCCUCCGCGCCGGCGCCGUAUCUUUCAAGUGUCUGCCUUAUCAGCUCUCGACUGUAGGUUAUGUGCCUACAUUGGCGAUAACGGGUAACGGGGAAUCAGGGUUCGAUUCCGGAGAGGGAGCCUGAGAAACGGCUACCACAUCUAAGGAAGGCAGCAGGCACGCAAAUUACCCACUCCCGGCACGGGGAGGUAGUGACGAAAAAUAACGGUGCGAGACUCAUCCGAGGCCUCGCAAUCGGAAUGAGUACACUUUAAAUCCUUUAACGAGGAUCGAUUGGAGGGCAAGUCUGGUGCCAGCAGCCGCGGUAAUUCCAGCUCCAAUAGCGUAUAUUAAAGUUGUUGCAGUUAAAAAGCUCGUAGUUGGA
rnacentral:rRNA from 1 species